GACGAACGCUGGCGGCGUGCUUAACACAUGCAAGUCGAACGAUGAACCCGGAGCUUGCUCCGGCGGAUUAGUGGCGAACGGGUGAGUAACACGUGAGUAACCUGCCCUUGACUCUGGGAUAACUGCGGGAAACUGUAGCUAAUACCGGAUACGACCCUCGGCGGCAUCGCCAGGGGGUGGAAAGAAUUUCGGUCAAGGAGGGACCCGCGGCCUAUCAGCUAGUUGGUGAGGUCACGGCUCACCAAGGCGACGACGGGUAGCCGGCCUGAGAGGGUGACCGGCCACACUGGGACUGAGACACGGCCCAGACUCCUACGGGAGGCAGCAGUGGGGAAUAUUGCACAAUGGGCGCAAGCCUGAUGCAGCAACGCCGCGUGAGGGAUGACGGCCUUCGGGUUGUAAACCUCUUUUAGUAGGGAAGAAGCGAAAGUGACGGUACCUGCAGAAAAAGCACCGGCUAACUACGUGCCAGCCGCCGCGGUAA
rnacentral:rRNA from 1 species